rnacentral:rRNA from 1 species
UACGAGGGGGGCAAGCGUUGUUCGGAAUUAUUGGGCGUAAAGGGUGCGUAGGCGGUUUGGUAAGUCUUAUGUGAAAUCUACAGGCUCAACUUGUAGUCUGCAUGAGAAACUGCCGGGCUUGAGUAUGGGAGAGGUGAGUGGAAUUCCUGGUGUAGCGGUGGAAUGCGUAGAGAUCCGGAAGAACACCGGUGGCGAAGGCGGUUAGCUGGGCAGUUGCUGACACUGAGGCGCGACAGCGUGGGGAGCAAACAGG